AUUGAACGCUGGCGGAAUGCUUUACACAUGCAAGUCGAACGGCAGCACGGACUUCGGUCUGGUGGCGAGUGGCGAACGGGUGAGUAAUGUAUCGGAACGUGCCCAGUCGUGGGGGUUAACGUAGUGAAAAUUACGCUAAUACCGCAUACGAUCUAUGGAUGAAAGCGGGGGACCGUAAGGCCUCGCGCGAUUGGAGCGGCCGAUAUCAGAUUAGGUAGUUGGUGGGGUAAGGCUCACCAAGCCGACGAUCUGUAGCUGGUCUGAGAGGACGACCAGCCAAACUGGAACUGAGACACGGUCCAGACUCCUACGGGAGGCAGCAGUGGGGAAUUUUGGACAAUGGGCGCAAGCCUGAUCCAGCCAUUCCGCGUGCAGGAUGAAGGCCCUCGGGUUGUAAACUGCUUUUGUACGGAACGAAAAGGUCCUGGUUAAUACCUGGGGCCCAUGACGGUACCGUAAGAAUGAGCACCGGCUAACUACGUGCCAGCCGCCGCAGUAA
rnacentral:rRNA from 1 species